GUUGCCUGGAAGCUGCAAGGGUCCAGAGUACAACGAUGCCUCCUAGAACAGUGUGGAAGCCUCAGCAGCAGAACACAUGUACCUCAUGGUAAGAUUCAAUAAGGGAGAGAUGCUGCACAGCCCACAUGGGAAUGCUGUCCUGCCUAGAAAGGCCAGUUUUUCUCCUCCAGACUGCUUCAUCAGGCUAAUUAAGACACUGAGUCUUCUGACUUCUGAACAUCUAGACUGCAU